GCGUCGAAAGUGCAACGGUUAGCAUACGCUCCCGGAAAGAGUGAGAUCUGGGUUCAAAUCCCGUUUGACGCU